AAAAAAAAAACCAAUAAGAUUUUCAUUAUAUCUACACGUACAAAGUCUGGUUUUACUUUUAAGAAAAUAUCCCUUGGUUAAGAGUUCUCGCCUGAAUGUAAAGAAAAUCCCUUAAAAACACAAAAUACCAUGUCUCUUAACUUUUACAUCCAUAACAACUUCCUGCAGACUUUAUUAAAUCAUAAAUACAUUUUUUACUACCUCUAAAGGAAUACAGCUAUGAGAAAAAUAGUCUUCCUGAACGGCAACGGAGGAAGAUAUUGUAUAUCCAGAUACAAAAUGAUAAAAAACAAUCUUAGCACUAAAGCCAGAUAUAAUAUUAUUGCAGAAUUUUUAAGUCUAAAUUAUUGCACUAUUUUGUGUCAUUUUCACCUUCCAAUGAAUUACUGAAGUCAUGUUACUGGUUCUAACCUUUGUAUGUUAUACAUACACUGGUAUCUAAGGUAUUGAGAACUUCUCAAUGCAUUAAUCAUUUUUCUAAUAGGCAUUAGAUUAGGUUAUACACAUGAGACUCAUAAUUAGAUAUAUAAACACCUAUGGUCCUAAUGGAAAUUCGUUCUCAUUUUUCAAUCCAUAAUCAAUAGCCAGAAGAGCAAUAAACGCCCCUUGAUUUUGAUUGGUGAUUUUUAUGCGCGCCAUGGAAGAGAAGGAAAAUGUUUCGCAGAUAUCAGGUGGAAAGUCGUCAAGAAUUGAUCGUGCUCUAGCCUCGAAGAUUAUUUUCCAAUAUCACAAAAAACCACCAAUACAUUCGAACCUUCUCUGAUCACAAAUUGAUUCACUCAGAAUUUUACACACAACUCCCAAAUUGAAAUAAAAUCUUAAGUUGGGGAUUUCUUAUGACUCUACGCUAUCCUCCAAUAAACUCUAUAGAAUAUUUCUAAAAAUUAUUCGAGAUACAACAUUUAUCUCAAUCAAUAAAAAGAGUAAUGCAGAAAUUCAGAGGAAGGAAGAAGUCAAAGACAUAAUGAAGACUUGCUUAAUUGCGAUUUUUUUUGGUAUUUUUGAGAUUUCUGAAGAAGAAAUGAAGAGAAAAGUCGUGAUCGAAGGAAACCCCUACAAAAAAUUGAAAAGUCUGUCAUCAACAAAAGAAACUAUCCGCUCGAAAAAUUAAAUGGAUAGUAACCAAAAAUGAAGGGCUUAAAUAAUCAAAGUCCAUUCGAGAGAAUGGGUUCCUUGAAUAAAGAAGGUGAGCAAUUGUUCUAUUUAUUCAGAGGAGAAUAUACUCCACUAAAUCAACCACUAUUGUAAAGAUAACAUAAACGGAAAGAUAUGUUCUUUAUGCUCUGAGGGGACUUACCUAUGGAGAUUU
rnacentral:lncRNA from 1 species